GACGAACGCUGGCGGCGUGCUUAACACAUGCAAGUCGAACGGAAAGGCCCUGCUUUUGUGGGGUGCUCGAGUGGCGAACGGGUGAGUAACACGUGAGUAACCUGCCCUUGACUUUGGGAUAACUUCAGGAAACUGGGGCUAAUACCGGAUAGGAGCUCCUGCUGCAUGGUGGGGGUUGGAAAGUUUCGGCGGUUGGGGAUGGACUCGCGGCUUAUCAGCUUGUUGGUGGGGUAGUGGCUUACCAAGGCUUUGACGGGUAGCCGGCCUGAGAGGGUGACCGGCCACAUUGGGACUGAGAUACGGCCCAGACUCCUACGGGAGGCAGCAGUGGGGAAUAUUGCACAAUGGGCGGAAGCCUGAUGCAGCAACGCCGCGUGCGGGAUGACGGCCUUCGGAUUGUAAACCGCUUUCGCCUGUGACGAAGCGUGAGUGACGGUAAUGGGGAAAGAAGCACCGGCUAACUACGU
rnacentral:rRNA from 1 species